rnacentral:rRNA from 1 species
UUGUUGGUAAGGUAAAAGCUUACCAAGGCUUCGAUCAGUAGCUGGUCUGAGAGGACGACCAGCCACACUGGGACUGAGACACGGCCCAGACUCCUACGGGAGGCAGCAGUGGGGAAUUUUGGGCAAUGGGGGCAACCCUGAUCCAGCCAUGCCGCGUGAGUGAAGAAGGCCUUCGGGUUGUAAAGCUCUUUCAGCCGGAACGAAACGGUUACGGAUAACACCCGUGACUACUGACGGUACCGGAAGAAGAAGCACCGGCUAACUACGUGCCAGCAGCCGCGGUAAUACGUAGGGUGCGAGCGUUAAUCGGAAUUACUGGGCGUAAAGCGUGCGCAGGUGGUUUUGUAAGUCAGAUGUGAAAGCCCCGGGCUCAACCUGGGAACUGCGUUUGAAACUACAAGACUAGAGUGUGGCAGAGGGGGGUGGAAUUCCGCGUGUAGCAGUGAAAUGCGUAGAGAUGUGGAGGAACACCGAUGGCGAAGGCAGCCCCCUGGGUCAACACUGACGCUCAGGCACGAAAGCAUGGGGAGCAAACAGGAUUAGAUACCCUGGUAGUCCAUGCCCUAAACGAUGUCAACUAGUUGUCGGGCCUUUACGGGCUUGGUAACGUAGCUAACGCGUGAAGUUGACCGCCUGGGGAGUACGAUCGCAAGAUUAAAACUCAAAUGAAUUGACGGGGACCCGCACAAGCGGUGGAUUAUGUGGAUUAAUUCGAUGCAACGCGAAAAACCUUACCUACCCUUGACAUGUAUCGAAGCCCGCAGAAAAGCGGGGGUGCCCGAAAGGGAACGAUAACACAGGUGCUGCAUGGCUGUCGUCAGCUCGUGUCGUGAGAUGUUGGGUUAAGUCCCGCAACGAGCGCAACCCUUGUCAUUAAUUGCCAUCAUUUAGUUGGGCACUUUAAUGAGACUGCCGG